rnacentral:lncRNA from 1 species
GUAAUUCUAUCAUCUCUGGUGACAUGCUUUUCCGGACAUGAGUUUACAUCUAAGGAAGACAGCUGGGUAGAGAGCUGAUAUCUAGAGAAAUAGGAGACGAGUCUCCAUGAACUUCGUUGACUGCCUUCAGAGAGCAGUAAUAUGUCACAUGAGAAGUGUACCUUCGAAUCCUGUCCAGAGGAGGCUGCUGGCACUCACCUGUGAAACUCAUGCCUUCAGAUGCACAUUUUACGGGGUCUUUGAUUGGGAAAUUGCUUUCCACCUCAGUUCAAUGUUAAUUUACUUAUAAGCAAACAGAAUGUGGCAACACUAUUUCUACUCUAAGAGCAUAUGCGUGUUGUCCUAUUAGUAGUAAUAUUUUCACCAGAACAUUGUCGAACAGCAGCAAGUGAUAACAUUAGUAGGCAGUAAUCAGAAAGUUGACAGCUUUCCUCGCCACUCACAUUUUUCCUUCUAGGAGGCGAGAGAUGUAAAUUGAACGGAACACUUCAGAAAAUGAUGAUUAGCUAAUGCUAGCGCAGGUACCACAUGCAUGCUGAAAUAUUUUUC